rnacentral:lncRNA from 1 species
CAUGGUGUCAGGCACAGGCUGAGACAGGGGAUAGAGGCAGAAACACAGAGCCCCACCCACUUGGCAUGGACCCAGCUUGUGUGCCCUUUACUGAAAACAAUCCAAGAUCAUGAAUACAAAAGUGCUGUGGAACAUGUUUAUAUCGUCAUGCAGUCUCUGGACCUGUGCCUUUGUACGUGAUGCUGGAGUAGUCGGGACGGUGGGCCGUAAGAGUAUUCCGCAGAAGUGACUGUGCAGUGCUUUUGUAAAAUAGCCGCUAAAUACAAGUUAAAUCCAUCCCACAGCCACUCCUGACACCUGCAUGAAGAGAUGUGACACAGAGGGGCAGAUGGAUGGAGAACGAUGGCAGUGUUAAUGAAUUGUAUUUAAAUAUCUUAUUUUUGACAAGUCGUGACCAUAGGCACACAUUAGUGGGGCCCGUGUCAGGGCCUUCGGAAAGAGCUGGGCAAGAGAGAAGCACUGAGGCUAGAGCAUCCUCAGUCCACCUCUGUUCGCCCACAGAGCUCAUACUGGAGGGAGGGAGAAGGAGAGAGAGUAGUAGACAGGCCGCGGCAGAAUAACAUGAUCGUUCCAUGCCAGAAGGAAGCACAGGGAAGUGGAGAAUCAGAGAGGAGGGGUCCUGGGUCAGCCCGGGGGGCAGGGAAGGCAUCCUUGGGGAGAUGGUGUCCAAACUGAAACCCAAAUGGUGACCAGUUCUUAGCCAGACAAACCAGGUGAGAGAGGCGUUUCAGGUGGAGGGCACAGCACGAGCAAGGGUCUAGAGUUGUAGUCCAGACAUAGAGUCUAGAAAUGCAAAAGCAUUCGGUAUGGCUGGAACUCAGAGUGCCAGGAGAGGAGUGCAGAGAAAAGAGGCUUAGUAGAAAAGCAGGGCUGAGGUCACAAGGCACCUGGACUACCAUACUAAGGGGACUCUACCCUGGGUGAUGGGGACGUAUUGAAAGAUGGAGGUGAGAUUUGCAUUUAGAAAGCUCACUUGAAACAGUGUUGAAUUGAACAGGAGUGGGGUAAGACUGGGCUGAUGCAGUAGUACGGGUAAGAGUAGCUGUGUGUGAGAAGGGGAGGUCCGAAUAUUAGGAAAAAGUAAGGAAUAGAGGGGAAAAAAUACUUUGGGUGAGUGGGGAUUUCCAAGGAUAAUAAUCCAAGUGUCUGAGUCUAUAUGACGUUAAGAGAGGAGAGGAAGAGCAGCAGAUUUGCUGGGGAAGAUGAUGAGCUGCUCGAGGUUCUUACAGGACGUCUCGCGAAGAUGCCCUGCGAAGGGGCACCAGAUGCACCCACGGUGCUGGAGAGGGAUCUGCCAUAGUGGUGACUUUCAGAAGUCAGUGAAGCCACAACAUGGACGAGCUCUUCACAGGAGAGAGUGUGGCAUGAAAGUGUCAAGGACACAGCACCAAACCCCGGAACACUAACGUUGAAGUCCAAGAAGAGGAGGAAUGUGCACAGGCGACCUGGAAGAAAUGGGGAAGUGCAGGAGAAAGAUGAGUCUCUAGGGAAGUUUUCCUCAGUUUGGGCGUGAUCCGAGAACAGGAUAGAUCAGAGCUUCCAAGGAACACUUGGUGGUUGGGGAAGCCCGAGUAAUGGGAAACACGUUUUCCAUUUCACAGUUCCAGGUGAAUACAGAUAUUGAUCAUCUCAGUUAAUUUGCCAGAAUAAUGCUGUGUGGCAUAACACAACAAAAGUUUAUUUCCUACACAUAGUUCAUAUCUACCAUGGGUCAGUGGGAGUUCUCUCCACAUGGUUGCUCAGGAUCCAGGCUGACAGAAAGUCCACCAUCUUGAAGCUACACCAUCUGGAAUAUUUGGCUUCCUCAGUCACUUUAGUGGGAAAGGGAGAGGCAUUGUGUCAUGUCCUGGCUCUACAAUGCUUUGUCCCAGAAGAGAGAUGGACCACUUUGAUUCACAGCCCUUUGGGCAGGACUAGUCGUGCAGCCCCAUCUAAUUGCCUGGGGGUUGGACCUGUGCAGGAAUACAUCCAUAUAUGGUGGGCGGUACGUGUCCCUGCCACACUCCACAUCAUAUAAAUCCAAAGUCUCAAAAGGCACUUUAGGUCAGAAAAUGUAAACAAAAUAACAAUAAAACGCCUUACAAUUAAUAUUAACAAAUAAUAGUAAAAUACUUCUAUCAAAAAUUAUCUAAGCAAAUAUAAAUGGAAAUACAUCUAUGUCUGGUUUUAUUGGAAGCAAUUACUUUUCUUCAAAUCCUAUUUAUUUACAUUUUGACGUAUUAUUUGUAACAUUAAUUGUAAUACCACAUUGACGUUACAUUUAUAUAUUUUCUAAUAUUAAUUUGAUUAAGAGUAACGAGGGUAUUUUUUAUUGUUAUUGUGAAGUAUAGGAAAUUUAGAAAAUUACAGUCUUAAAAAGUUUUAACUAUUUUGCUUUUGCUGUAAAACUCAAUCUCAGCGUAUUUUAAAUAUGUCAUGAUAUGUUUCUAUCUUUGCUUUCUGUAGUAAGUGCACAAAUACUGCAGAUCUGAAAGACACAGUCAGGUAUAAAGAACUGAGUUUCAACAAAAACUUAAUUUACCAAUAGAUGUUUUUUUCUCAUUCCAACAUAUAAGAAAAUUGCU